UGCCAGCCGCCGCGGUAAUACUGAAGGUGCAAGCGUUAAUCGGAAUUACUGGGCGUAAAGCGUGCGCAGGCGGCUUUGCAAGACAGAUGUGAAAUCCCCGGGCUCAACCUGGGAACUGCAUUUGUGACUGCAGGGCUAGAGUACGGCAGAGGGGGAUGGAAUUCCGCGUGUAGCAGUGAAAUGCGUAGAUAUGCGGAGGAACACCAGUGGCGAGGGCAAUCCCCUGGGAUAAUACUGACGCUCAGACACGAAAGCGUGGGGAGCAAACAGGAUUAGAUA
rnacentral:rRNA from 1 species